rnacentral:pre_miRNA from 9 species
UUUAACGUUCGUAAAAUUUAACUUAAAUUUGUAUGGAGUUGGAAGUUUGCCUUCGUUUACCGCUAGGGGCGCUGUUCCAACUGCAUACAAAUUUGAGUUAACUUUUACGCUAUCGA